GCCCUCGUAGCUCAGGGGAUAGAGCGGCGGCGUCCUAAGCCGCGCGUCGGGAGUUCGAAUCUCUCCGGGGGCACCA
rnacentral:tRNA from 2 species